UACGUAGGGUGCAAGCGUUGUCCGGAAUUAUUGGGCGUAAAGAGCUCGUAGGUGGUUUGUCGCGUUGUCCGUGAAAACUCACAACUCAAUUGUGGGCGUGCGGGCGAUACGGGCAGACUUGAGUACUGCAGGGGAGACUGGAAUUCCUGGUGUAGCGGUGAAAUGCGCAGAUAUCAGGAGGAACACCGGUGGCGAAGGCGGGUCUCUGGGCAGUAACUGACGCUGAGGAACGAAAGCGUGGGUAGCGAACAGG
rnacentral:rRNA from 1 species